rnacentral:rRNA from 1 species
AGCGUAUAUUAAAGUUGUUGCAGUUAAAAAGCUCGUAGUUGAAUUUCGGGAUCGAAUUGUCGGUCGUGUUUCGGUACGCACUGGNAUUAUCGGNUUCUACCUUCUGAAGAACCGCGAUGUCAUUAAUUUGGUGUCGUGGGGAAUCAGGACUGUUACUUUGAAAAAAUUAGAGUGUUUAAAGCAGGCUUACGCUUGAAUGCAUUAGCAUGGAAUAAUGAAAUAGGACGUUUGAUUCUAUUUUGUUGGUUUCUAGGAUCGACGUAAUGAUUAAUAGGGAUAGUUGGGGGCAUUAGUAUUCAAUUGUCAGAGGUGAAAUUCUUGGAUUUAUUGAAGACUAACUACUGCGAAAGCAUUUGCCAAGGAUGUUUUCAUUAAUCAAGAACGAAAGUUAGGGGAUCGAAGACGAUCAGAUACCGUCGUAGUCUUAACCAUAAACUAUGCCGACUAGGGAUCGGAUGAUGUUAAUUUUAUAAUGACUCAUUC